ACCGAGCGGGGAGGACGAGGAGGAGGAGGAGGAGGAGAAGAGCGUAAUUGUUGCUUUGAAAUAAGAUUAAAGAAUUCGUCGGAAGUUUGAUUCGGAUUGAUGAAGAUGAUCCUGACCUGUUAUCGAAGUCAGGAUUACAACUCACACAGACGGACUUUCAGAGCAAGUCUCAGACGGAUUAAUUGUUGCUUUGAAAUAAGAUUAAAGAAUUCGUCGGAAGUUUGAUUCGGAUUGAUGAAGAUGAUCCUGACCUGUUAUCGAAGUCAGGAUUACAACUCACACAGACGGACUUUCAGAGCAAGUCACAGAUGGAUGUAAGCUCUCUGCAUAAUGAAGGUGGAGUUAUAAAUGCUCCAAAUUUACAAUAAAAAUCUUUUGACCAGCAAUAGGCCGGUGCAGUAUGUUCUGUGCCUUGUAGUAGGCUACACCUGAAUGCUUGAGUAAGACACUAUGAAAACCUUUCUUAAUCGACUGGAAAAUGCACUGAAAUUAAAUUCAAUCACAGAUAUUAUUGGCCUAUUGGUAAAGCUCAAGUUCUAUUAGGACCCUUCUUCUCCAUUCUGUGUGUAUCUUAUGAUACAUUUGUACCAUUUUCAAAGCAAUUGGAGAUUUCCUUGGGCCAAAAAUAUGCCUUGAAAUCAGCAUGUUAACAGCAGAAAGAUGUACUAAAGCAAAAAAGGAGCAUAUUUAAGAAAAAAAAUAUCUUUCUUCUAUUCCGUAUUCUGCUGCUUUUCUUCUCCAAAUGGUGGCCUCCAACAGCUAACUGCCAUUUUAAAAUUCAACCAUCCAUUUAUUUUUGAAGGCUCAGAAUAUUCUUAAUAAUUUUUACAUUAUUUUGAUUUCUUCUUGCACACUUAUCUUUUUAAGCAUUCAUUAAUAACAAGCUGAACAUGAAUCAGGAGUGUGGGACAUCUCAUAGAAGCCAAUAGAAAGUGCACAGCUCAGUUGUAAAUGUAUUGCAGAAUCCAUGACAUUUGGAGGGAUGGAAUGAUAGUGUUACUAAGCAACGGUGUAGCUCAUUCUUAGCUGAAAUCUGAGAUACUACAUCCCUGCAGUAGUUGCAUGAAUGAGAUAAUUGGGAUUGGCACCCUCCAGGUGGGAUGGGACAGCUUUCCACGGCUAACUCAACACAGGAUAACUAAAUGUGAGAUAACAGUACUGUUAUGCAACAUCAUUUUUGUCAUUCACAUUUCAUGUUGUCCCUCCUUUAUCAUCCUUUCUGUAAUGAUUCUAUUCCAGCAUUUCCACACUAAUAUUGAAGAAGUAUAGUACAGUUAUCUUGAGUUAUCCUGCAUUGAAUUAGCCCACGGGGAGUUGGCCACAGGAAGUUGGCCAUGGGGAGUUGCCCCAACUUGAGUUGCCUGGGGAAAGUCAACCGGAGCAAGAUGGCCCUGGAGAGGUAGCCAUGGCAAAUUGUCCUAGAGAGUUUCUGGGAUGCCAUGAUUCCUUCUCUAUUGAGGUAUCACAACACAUCUGAUGUUGGUGACCUGUUUCUUGUGAUCCAGCUAAUGUAAAUGAUCCAGGGACAUGCAGUCACUAGAGGCAAGGGAGGCGGGACCU